rnacentral:lncRNA from 1 species
AGCAGAGGAGGUGUGCUGCUCCCCAGGUGACUCCUAGAGAGGCGGUGUGUCAGCUGGGAACCACUGCAUCCCUUUGACUGUGAGGAAAGGAAAGGGAAGAAAUGGUGAGGCAUAGAAGCAGUGCUCCCCUUAGAGAAGAUAAGCAGUAAGAGGAGUCAAAGCCCCGGUUACCAAUGAUUUAAUGUUUUAUUUCCAUAAAGGAUUUGUCAGCCAGGAAAUGCGCAGCAGCUUUAGCCCCCUUCUGCUCAUUCAGCCCUCGUCAGGGCCUGUUGCUCACGUUUUGCUCUGAAGACACUCACUUGGUCUGAUGUUCUCCUUAACAGCAUUUCCGGUGGACGACAGCUGCCCCAAAAUCCCCGUAGUCCCUCACGGUGAUCCACAUUGAUUUGAAGGAGGUCAGGCAGGAGAGGACGGAGGCCCCGACCCACACGCUGUACUUCCUCUCGGGAGGGGCAAUGAUUUUCACGAGCAUCCCCACAGGCACCUGCAGGUGCAUCUCCUUCAGGAUGCGCUCCUCCAGGCCAGGGAAGAGCGUGGAGCCUCCCGAGAGCAGCACGUUGCCAUACAGAUCCCUGCGCACAUCGAUGUCGCACUUUGUGACGCUGUUGAAGAGCAUUUUGUGCACACCAGCUGCUUCAAUGCCAACGUUGGCAGGUACAAAAAGGGUCUCUGGUGCACGAAAGAGCUGGCUGCCUAUCUGAAUGAUGUUGCUGUCAGGUAAUCUGUAUUCUUUCAUGAUUUCUUCUGGACUUGCUUUCAUUUCCAGAGUGGGGUCUAGAGCCACAUAGCACAGCUUCUCUUUGAUAUCUUUCACAAUUUCCCUUUCAGCGGUGCUAACGAAAGAGUAUCCGCUCUCCAAAAGGAGCCUCAUAAAAUACUCAGUGAUAUCCCGGCCAGCGAUAUCCAGCCUGGACACGGCAUGGGGCAGGCAGUACCCCUCGUAAAUGGGGACGGUGUGGGUGACGCCAUCCCCGCUGUCCAGAACUAUGCCGGUGGUGCGGGCAGACGCGUAGAGGGCCAACGCAGCCUGGACUGCCACGUACAUGGCGGGCACCAUGAAGCCCUCAAACAUGAUCUCAGUCAUUCUUUCCCGGUUCUGCAGGGGGUUGAGGGGGGGUUCUGUGAGCAGCACGGGUCUUUCGCUGGCUUUCACUCUCAGCUCGUAGUCAUAGACGUGUCUCCAGAUCCUUUCCAUGUCAUCCCAGGAUGUAACGAUGCCAUGGUCAAUGGGAUAAUUCAAAGUCAGGAUCCCUCUUUUGGACUGAGCUUCUUCUCCUACGUAGUACUCUUUCAUCCCAGCUCCCAGCAUUGCAGAUUUGACUCUUGAGCGACCGACGAUCGAUGUGAUAACUGACCUUGGGCCACCGUCCCCUGCGAUCCCCGCCUUGCACAAUCCAGACCCGUUGUCAAAGAUUACAGCUGGGACAUCCAAAACGCUGGGGUCAAACAUUCCUCACAGAGCUGACAGCCCCCAGAGCAGCUCACUGGCAGCGUUUUUCUGGGGGUUUUUCGGUGUUUUCAGCCUUUUAAAGGGUGGUCACCGUUGCCAGGGCAGCCUCCUUGGGGGUGUGCAGGGUGGGGGUGGGCAUGUCUGCCCCCAGCUACCUCAUAAAGGCCAGUGAUAGAAUAAUAUAUUUCCCUGCAAGACACAGCAUUCCAGACACUUCCCUGGAAAUGCCUAGGGCAGCUGUGCCACGACUCCAGCCGGGGGAACAUCCGUUCACCAAGUCCCAUCCAUAGAUCACAGACCACCAAAGGUAUCCCCAUACUGAGCCUCACAGCACCUGUUUCUCAGAAGGGCAGGACAAAAUUUCCCACCAAAGGAA